GCUAUUCGGAGUUCGAUUAAGCACAUGCGAGUCGCGAGUCUUAGGGACUCGGCGUACCGCUCAGUGGCACGUGGGUAACUCUGCCCUAUGCUGUGGGAAUAUACCUCGUGGAUAACUGAGAAUAAUGCCCACAUAGUCUCACCACGCCUGGAACUGGCGAGGUGGAUCAAAGCUCCAUGCGGCGUAGUGAUGGGCCUGCGGCGUAUGAGGUCGUAGGAUCGUGUAAUGUACCCUCUAACGAUCGACGCGUACGGGUGUUGGGAGACGUUGCACGGGAGAUGGCAUUCUGAG
rnacentral:rRNA from 1 species